rnacentral:rRNA from 1 species
AUUGAACGCUGGCGGCAGGCCUAACACAUGCAAGUCGAACGAGUGGCGGACGGGUGAGUAAUGUCUGGGAAACUGCCUGAUGGAGGGGGAUAACUACUGGAAACGGUAGCUAAUACCGCAUACCAUCGGAUGUGCCCAGCUGGGAUUAGCUAGUAGGUGGGGUAAAGGCUCACCUAGGCGAAGAUCCCUAUCUGGUCUGAGAGGAUGACCAGCCACACUGGAACUGUGACACGGUCCAGACUCCGACGGGAGGCAGCAGUGGGGAAUAUUGCACAAUGGGCGCAAGCCUGAUGCAGCCAUGCCGCGUGUAUGAAGAAGGCCGUCGGGUUGUAAAGUACUUUCAGCGGGGAGGCGUUACCCGCAGAAGAAGCACCUGCUAACUCCGUGCCAGCAGCCGCGGUAAUUC